rnacentral:lncRNA from 10 species
GCACAUUUGGAGCUGGGUAAUUCUUUGUGGGGAUUGCUUUGUGCGUUGUCUAUUGUGCAGCAUCUCAGCACCUUCACCCGCUAGAUGACCCAUGGUGAUCCUCCCCACAUUGGGAAAACCAACAUGUCUCCAGACACUGCCAAACCAGGCCUCCACGCCUGGCUAAUUUUUGUAUUUUAGUAGAGACGGGGUUUCAGCAUGUUGACCAGCCUUGGAAUCGGCCACUGCUUUACGGUAACCUGCCCUCUUCUUUCCUCACCUCCGCGUCACAGACGCCUGGUUUCCAGCAACUCUGGUGGAUUUUGCAAUCACCAAUCUGAGGACAUCAGAGGAAAACUGAGACACCACAGGACACCUGAGUUCUCCCGCAAAACCCCUUUCCAGAAUUGACUGCAUCUGAGGAAAAUGACGGCGUCCAGGGCUCCCCUGAGUAAUUGGAUUUACUUCAGUGCUACUGUGCAGAUGACAUCUUCUUCAGUAAUUAUUCCAAAUUUUCAGGGCAGGGUUAGAUUUACCCAGUAUGCAUCAAGUCUUGCUCCCGUUUCAUUCCAUAACAGUUGGGAGAGCAGAGUGUUUAGUACAAGCCAGAAGCUGGGGGCCCACUGCAUGCAAAGAGGAGGGGAGAGGGAAGUUAAGUAGUCAUCAUGAGCCGGGGGCAUUCCACAAUGUAGCCCCUACACCUGGCCUUUCCAAACCUGCCAUUCACACACCACCUUCACAACCAGCUAUGUGACCCUGAACAAUGCAUUUAGCCUCUCUGCGACUCAGUUUCCUCAUCUGUGGGAUGAGAAUGGUGAGGACUCAACAAAGUUGAUCUAUGUAAAAUUCUUAGAACUGUGAUUGGUGCCUGGGAGUGGUGGCCCACGCCUGUAAUCUCAGCACUUUGGGAGGCUGAGGUGUGAGGAUCAUUUGAGGCCAGGAGUUUGAAACCAGUCUGGACAACAAGGGAAGACUCCCAUCCCUAAAUAAUUAAAAAAAAAAAAAACCAAAACAAACAAACUGAUUGUCACUUAAUGAAGAUAUAAAAAAACACUUAGUUUCAUCUAUGGUUUUGGUACAAUUUUAAAAUAAAA